rnacentral:lncRNA from 1 species
AUCAUCCUCACUGUUGGAUCACAAUCCAAGUGCGAAUGGGCUCAAAAUCGUCUGAUCUACAUCAAUGCAUGCAGACUGUCGGAUGGCCCUUACACGAGGAUCGCCGUGCACGCAAGCGUACCCUACAUGGCCGCCACAUGGCAGACGGCCUUUAGGGUCGCGGCCACGUCAAAUGCUCAUGCGACCUAGCUUUCUGUAAUUUCCUUCGUUUAGAUCCCUGGACC